AGCGGAGAGGCGGAGGCCCAGCUGUUCCUUCUCCACUGCUCCCCGCCCCCUUCCACCCACUGCCUGGGCCUGAGGAUCUGAAGCUGAGAGGGGAAAAGAAGGAAUUUAGGCGGAGUGCUCCGAACUAAAUAUAGUCCUUUGUUGGUGUUUUGGAGGGAGUCUGAUUUUUUCAAACCCAGUCACGACCGUUUCUUAAAGGGAGCAACUAGGGUUCAUUGCUGCUCUCGGUCUGCAAGAAAUCCUAAAGUUUCUAACUUAAAUCUUUGCCGGGAGCUAGAAUGAGCAAUGAGCCACCGGGAGCUCGGGGCAUCAGGAGAGAUGGGUCUGCCCAGGCUUGCCUCUUCCCAAGCUCUUCAUGGUGGGGCGGGCAGUCGCAGGACUUGGCUCGGUUCACUAGCACAGGGAUGCGAGGUGACGCCUGGACUUGUCCCGAGUCUCUAUAGUUCCUUGCUAGGGAGAGAUGUCUAGACCUGUCAGCGCACAGCACUGGCUGUGGGAGCCGCCGAGUGCAGAGGGGUGGGGAUCGGAUCUGUGUCAACCGGUGAUCAGUGGCCUGUCUUCUUAUCUUCUGCCACUAGGUUCUGCUUCUGCCGUCCUCGCUGCAGGGAGAACGGGGCAGUGUGUAGAUACGUGCUUUUGGUUCCGAGUUACUGCAGUAUUCUUGGCCCCAUCUGCGAGUGGCCUGCCCCAGACUCUUGAUUGCAAGCCUUAAGUUUGUGUCCGCAGUGAGCAGUCAAGCCGCUUGAAGACAAAGGAGGAGCACCCCCGCCCCAUGACCAUUCUUUGCUCUUGUGGAAAUAACACUAUUUGGAUGGCGCUUCCUCGUCUAGACAUGGACCGCUGGACCCUUGACUCUUUUUGCCUGCCGGAGUGAAACAACUUGUUCUCCUGUGCCUGCAGCUGCUCUGAGCACGAGACCCUCAUGAGUUCCUGAUGGCAGGGGAGUGAAUUCUGGUGGAUUUUACAGCCUGAAAUCCCAAGAGUUGGGGUGUGGCUAUCAGUUAAGGAUCCCUAUAUAAGCUGCCCCUGCACACAAUAAA